rnacentral:rRNA from 1 species
AGUGAACGCUGGCGGCAGGCCUAAUACAUGCAAGUCGAACGGCAGCACAGCAGAGCUUGCUCUGUGGGUGGCGAGUGGCGGACGGGUGAGGAAUACAUGGGAAUCUGCCCAGUCGUGGGGGAUAACGUAUGGAAACGUACGCUAAUACCGCAUGCGCCCUAAGGGGGAAAGCCGGGGACCGCAAGGCCUGGCGCGAUUGGAUGAGCCCAUGUUCGAUUAGCUAGUUGGCGGGGUAAAGGCCCACCAAGGCGACGAUCGAUAGCUGGUCUGAGAGGAUGAUCAGCCACACUGGAACUGAGACACGGUCCAGACUCCUACGGGAGGCAGCAGUAGGGAAUAUUGGACAAUGGGGGCAACCCUGAUCCAGCCAUGCCGCGUGAGUGAAGAAGGCCCUCGGGUUGUAAAGCUCUUUUGUCCGGAAAGAAAAGCAAUCGGUUAAUACCCGAUUGUUCUGACGGUACCGGAAGAAUAAGCACCGGCUAACUUCGUGCC